rnacentral:rRNA from 1 species
AUUGAACGCUGGCGGCAUGCCUUACACGUGCAAGUCGAACGGUAACAGGUCUUCGGAUGCUGACGAGUGGCGAACGGGUGAGUAAUACAUCGGAACGUGCCUAGUAGUGGGGGAUAACUACUCGAAAGAGUGGCUAAUACCGCAUGAGAUCUACGGAUGAAAGCAGGGGAUCGCAAGACCUUGUGCUACUAGAGCGGCCGAUGGCAGAUUAGGUAGUUGGUGGGAUAAAAGCUUACCAAGCCGACGAUCUGUAGCUGGUCUGAGAGGACGAUCAGCCACACUGGGACUGAGACACGGCCCAGACUCCUACGGGAGGCAGCAGUGGGGAAUUUUGGACAAUGGGCGAAAGCCUGAUCCAGCAAUGCCGCGUGCAGGAUGAAGGCCUUCGGGUUGUGAACUGCUUUUGUACGGAACGAAAAGCCCCGGGUUAAUACCCUGGGGUCAUGACGGUACCGUAAGAAUAAGCACCGGCUAACUACGUGCCAGCAGCCGCCGCAG